UGCCAGCAGCCGCGGUAAUACGAAGGGUGCUAGCGUUGUUCGGAAUUACUGGACGUAAAGAGCAUGUAGGCGGAUGAAUUAGUCAGAGGUGAAAGCCCCGAGCUCAACUUGGGAACUGCCUUUGAUACUGCAGAUCUAGAGUCCGAGAGAGGUGAGUGGAAUUCCUAGUGUAGAGGUGAAAUUCGUAGAUAUUAGGAAGAACACCAGUGGCGAAGGCGGCUCACUGGCUCGAUACUGACGCUGAGGUGCGAAAGCGUGGGGAGCAAACAGGAUUAGAUA
rnacentral:rRNA from 1 species